CACAUGUUUCGAAACAACGUGGUACAUAUUAAAUUGCAACUUCACACAUCAAAAUCAGCUGUGAAUAUCAGUAUGGCCGCUCUUAUAUCCACAAAAUAAAAUUGCUAUUGCUAUAUUCAUUUCACAAACAUAGUAAAGUGCAGUUUUGGUGUCUACCGCGCGUUAAAUAUUUUGAUUAAUCUUUUACAACCGUAUCGAUGUUGAUGUUGACUAAAAGUGUUGCGUCAUGACAGAAUAGACCUCUCUCUCACUGACAAACAAAUACAAUUUUGCGAACUAGAGAUUACAGCUAAAAGUGGUAGCAUUUCUAUUUCGCUCGUAUAACGUAUAUGUCGAGUGUAUUGCUGAUGUGAUUAAGUGAAUUUGAAUAGUAACAAAUCUAAUAAUGAGUAGUGUUCGGUUAAGCUUCGUGUCUGUUGGGAGAAUCGCUGUACGGAGAAAUUCACAGUUGACAUCAGGUGGCGCACAAACAUGCCGUGCCCUGCGGCGCCCCAGCACCCGCCCACUGAGCACGUGCGCCGUGCUGUGCAAGAGUCCUACCGAGCAACCGCCCGGCCCGCCGCACACCGCUAAAGACGCCGCGAGCACCGGUUCAUCAUCAGGCGGUAAGAAGUCGGGGGGUAAUGGUGUGCUAACAUGUCCGAAGUGUGGAGACCCCUGCACUCACGUUGAGACGUUUGUCAGUUCCACGAGAUUCGUCAAGUGCGAUAAGUGUCACCAUUUUUUUGUCGUGCUCAGCGAGGUCGACACCAAGAAGAGCAUCAAGGACAAUGCCGAAAACAAAUCUGGAUUCUACAGAAAACCUCCACCUCCGCCCAAGAAGAUCUUCGAAUACCUCAAUAAACACGUUGUCGGACAGGAAUAUGCGAAGAAAGUUCUAUCAGUCGCCGUCUACAAUCACUACAAGCGCAUUUACAACAAUGUCACGAAUGGUACGACCACAGACGCCCACCAUCCCUUACAUCACACACACAGAGAUCUUCUACACUUGAGUCACAACAGUGGGGCUACUGGAGGAGGAGGAGGGGGAGGCACAGAGGUCCUCGAGAGAAAUAACCACGAAUUGAGAUUGGAUAAGAGCAAUGUGCUUUUACUAGGACCAACUGGAAGCGGUAAAACAUUGCUCGCACAAACUAUAGCGCAAUGUCUUGACGUACCGUUCGCGAUCUGCGACUGCACGACACUCACGCAGGCUGGCUACGUAGGCGAAGACAUCGAAAGCGUCAUCGCGAAAUUGUUGCAAGACGCCAACUUCAACGUCGAACGUGCUCAAACGGGCAUCGUAUUUCUUGACGAAGUGGAUAAAAUUGGCGCCGUACCCGGCAUACAUCAACUCAGAGACGUGGGAGGCGAGGGCGUCCAGCAGGGGAUGCUGAAGAUGCUCGAGGGCGCCGUGGUGUCCGUCCCCGAGCGGAACUCGCGCAAGCUGCGCGGCGACGCCGUGCAGGUGGACACGACCAACAUCCUGUUCGUGGCGAGCGGCGCGUACAACGGGCUGGACCGGCUGAUCCAGCGCCGCAACAACGAGAAGUACCUCGGCUUCGGCGCGUGGGACGCGCGCGCGGGCCGGCGCGCCGCGCUGGCGGCCGCCGCCGCCGACGCGUCGCCGCUCGACAGCGCGCGCGCCGAGGCGGCCGAGCGCGACCACUGGCUGCGCGCCGUGCAGGCGCGGGACCUCAUCGACUUCGGCAUGAUCCCCGAAUUCGUGGGCAGGUUUCCGGUGUUGGUGCCCUUCCACAGUCUCAACCAGGACCUGCUCGUGAGGAUCCUGACCGAACCCAAAAAUGCCAUUGUGGCCCAGUACAAGUUGCUGUUCGCGAUGGACAAGUGCGAGCUGUCGUUCAGCGAUGAAGCGCUGCAAGCCGUCGCCUCGCUCGCGAUGGAGCGCAAGACCGGCGCGAGAGGACUCCGAGCCAUCAUGGAAAAUCUCCUCCUGGAGGUGAUGUUCGAGAUCCCCGGCUCCGACAUCACGUGCGUGCACAUACACGAGGGCUGCGUGCGGCGCAGCGAGCCGCCGCAACUACGGAGACGGCACCCGCAGCGGGAGCGGGACCUGCACCACUGGCCCUCGGUGCGCGUCACCAACUGUACGUAGGGACACACACACGCGCGGGACCUGCACCACCGGCCCUCGGUGCGCGUCACCAACUGAACUAAAAGCGACAGAACCCGAACCGUCUGUCACCCAGUGUGCGCUGUGAGGGCGAGUAUGGUGGUCAUGACGACAUACUACGAAUAUAAACUGCAUAGACAAACAAUAACUUAUAGUCAAAUCACGUUUCCAUAGAUAAAAAAAACUAAAAAAAGUUCCAGAUAAUAACAAAAAAAAAAGAUUAAUGAUAACUAAUUAUCCAGUUUUUUUUUUUUUUUGUUUUUUUUUUUUUAACAUUUUAAUUAUAACUGAUGAAAAUAUUUACAACAUUAUCUAUACGAAGGCUAGUUUCAGCAUUUAAAAUCAGUCAUUUUUUAAUUAAAGUAUACAUUUGAGUUGGAGAUAUUCCUGAUUUAUUUUAGAUUAGGAUUUUUUUUGGCGCCAAAAAGCCGGUUUGAAUAUAGAAAUUAAAGAUAAUUGUUUCAAAAUUCAAAUUAAAAAAGUCUAAAAAAAUCUUCGGUGACAUAACAUGAAUAGGUAAUUGUGGCUCUCAAAAAUAUCUUGAAAAUUACAAUGAUUGAAUGUUAUAUUUAUGUUUUAAAACACAAGUUUACUGUGUUAUUUUAUGUUUUAUAAGAAUGAUCUUUAUUUAUAGUUCCUUUAGGGCUAAAUUUGGAGUUUUGUGUUAAAAUACAAAAAGUAAAUUUAAUAAGGAAUAAUGUUGUAUUGUCAGCCACCGUACAACAUUGCACUUGUGAUGUAAAUUACUGUAAAUAAUAAUUGAUAGAAAAAUCUAGAUAAAAUAGUUAAGGUACCAUAGAUUAGGUUUUUUUUCUAUGCCCAUAUAAGUUAAGUACCGAAAUAUAUAGAAAUAAUAGCUAACGUUUGGAAACACUGUGAGAGAAACUAUAUUUUGACAUUUGUUUUUUUUUUUAAUUGUAUUUUAAUUAUUUUCUAUUUAAAUAUUGUAAAGUUGUGACGUGAUUAUUAAAAAAAAAAUGAAAUUUUUGAAAUUUCAAGUAAAAAGAUAUAUGGUGAAUAAAUUAUUAAAAAAAGUAAUCACAUUACAGCUACAAUUAAAAUAGUCUAAGCCUAUUUCGAGAUAAAAAUAUAAAGAAAAGAACGGAA